ACCCGCUGAACUUAAGCAUAUCAAUAAGCGGAGGAAAAGAAACCAACAGGGAUUGCCCUAGUAACGGCGAGUGAAGCGGCAACAGCUCAAAUUUGAAAUCUGGCUCUUUUAGAGUCCGAGUUGUAAUUUGCAGAGGGCGCUUUGGCUUUGGCAGCGGUCCAAGUUCCUUGGAACAGGACGUCACAGAGGGUGAGAAUCCCGUACGUGGUCGCUGGCUAUUGCCGUGUAAAGCCCCUUCGACGAGUCGAGUUGUUUGGGAAUGCAGCUCUAAAUGGGAGGUACAUUUCUUCUAAAGCUAAAUAUUGGCCAGAGACCGAUAGCGCACAAGUGGAGUGAUCGAAAGAUGAAAAGCACUUUGGAAAGAGAGUCAAACAGCACGUGAAAUUGUUGAAAGGGAAGCGCUUGCAGCCAGACUUGCUUACAGUUGCUCAUCCGGGCUUUUGCCCGGUGCACUCUUCUGUAGGCAGGCCAGCAUCAGUUUGGGCGGUAGGAUAAAGGUCUCUGUCACGUACCUCUCUUCGGGGAGGCCUUAUAGGGGAGACGACAUACUACCAGCCUGGACUGAGGUCCGCGCAUCUGCUAGGAUGCUGGCGUAAUGGCUGU
rnacentral:rRNA from 1 species